UAUUUCUUGCAGUGUUACUAAUUACCUAAUUCAUUUAAGAAUGUAAUUAACACGUCAUAAAACCUCUCAAAACACCCCAUCAAUGAUUCAUGAUUUUACCUAAAUAUGCAUCAAGCAACGUAAAUCUGUUCCUACAUAAUGUUAAACUUCUCGACCUAAGAUUCCAAGGAUGGUCAAUUGAAGACCAUUUUUCUUUGAGGAAAUUGAGAAACAGAGGAAUCGAAAUAUAAGAUGAGGACAUGAAAGUGAUUCUGAAAGAAGCAUUUGGAGAUUCAUUCAGUAGCGAUUGGGAAUUGGGUGAUUCAAGUAAUGGAUUUGGAAAGUUUCAAUCGAUUUUUGGGAAAGCAUUUGUAAGUUGCCCAAUUUUCCUUGCCUCUAAAUUCAUUGUUGCCGAGGAGCAGAGAUUCGAAUUCAACAAUUUCUUACUUGUAGGUGGAUUGUGUAACAAGCAACUUGAGUAAGAAAUUUAUUUGUUGAACCAUUUGUGUUAAUUUGCUAUCCGAUAAACUUCUGGCAUUUUGAAACAUGACUUCAAAUGUUGCUCCUUUUGAAUUGUAAUGUAGAUUACUGCAAUGAGAAUUGAUCUUAAAUUUUGAAAACGUUUCCAUUUGAUUUGUCAAAGAAAUUGUCAUUUUUUUGCCACAUAAGUUAUUGUGAUUUGGUAAUAGUACAUGAGAGACAUGAUAACAUGAAGGUUAUAAAAGUUUCAGAGAUCAAUAAUAUAUGAGAGACAUGAUAACAUGAAGGCUGUAAAAGCUUUAAAAACCAAGGUUUUGCAAAAUCGUUUCAAUGUAUUUAAGCAUUCAAAUUGGAUUUGGAAAUCAUUUGGUUCCAAAGUUUUUAUGCUGGGAUUUGAUACCCAAUAAAUUAUGGGCAAUGAUGUUAAAGCGAUGUUAGAUAAGUUAUAUUGACACCUUAGCGAUGGGUUGGCCCAAAAAUAAUUUGGAGCCAUUUGAAGCAACUUAAUUAAGUUAAUGUUGCUUGUGGCCCAACACUCAUGGAUGGACCAAGUAGUGGUUGGUUGUUAGAUAGGUUUUGUAGCCCAUUUAGUGGUAAGUAAGGACUUGGAUAUUUUGACCAUUAAUUUGGUUAAGUGACAGUCCAUUUACAUGAGUCUUGGCCAAUAUCAGAUGACAAAAACUUGUGGCAUCCAGAGUGUACAAGUUGUGGUUUGGAACCUCCUAAGUUGAUGUUUGUUUGGUGAGUAAAUUGAGCCCGGAUUUAAGAUCUAUAGAGAGCUUCCGCAGAAUAAAUUGUGUCAUAGCCUUGGUGUUGAGAAAUUUGUGGUUUUUCGGAAUUGUCUGGAAAAGGCUGAAAAUUGAACCUAAAAAUGGGCAGAAAACAAACGAAAAAUUAGAUCAUUUUGAAAUCAUUCUACCCAAACCCAUAAAUGCAUUUUUUGGCCAAACCAGCGGCCAUCUAGGAAAAAUGAGGUCAGAUUCAAAACUAGCAGGCAAAAGCCUGAGUAUGACAAGAGGUAAUGCAACUAGGAAGUUAAUAAGUGAACAUCUUUCCAAACAAGGGAGACAGGAGUGCUUACAAACCGUAUAGCUAAGGGAGCAACUAGACUUUCAAGUAUCAAGUAAUAGAUAUCCCUUAAGCAGUUAGGGUUGGCACGUGUGGUGGCCGACGGUGGCUCGUGUAGCAGCGUAUGGAGCCAAUGCGCAGAAUGCCAACAAGGUGCGUAGUGAUGUGUCUGAAGGAUUCCGAUAGUGGUUCCAAAAGAAAAUUUCUUCGGAGAGAUGUAAUAGACCCAAUGGUGGUGUCCGUUUUUAGUUUUGAUUAUACGUGAAAUUUGGACAAUUUUGCCCUUGGACAUUCAAGUGCCGAGUGUCGUUUUGUGUUGCGGGGGUUGUUGGAAGUUUUAUGGUGAAUAGGGCGGCACUAAGUAGUGAAUGUUACACCCCACCCAUUUUUAGUCAAAGUCAAGCAAAGAAAUUGGUCAUAGUCAAAGUUAAUAAAGACUUAAAUUGAACAAAUGAUUUUUAUGGGGCUUAAUUUGUAAUUACAAGAACCUUAGGGAUUUAGUUUCUAUUUAUUGGAAUUAAAGGAGUAAAUGGUAUAUUACAGGAAGUGUGGGGACUUGAUUUGCAAUUCUAUCAUACUUAUCCAUUUAAAACCUUAAACAUAUCCAUUUUCUUUCAUUUUGGGACCAAAACGUAGAGAGGAAGCAGAGAACGAAGCUGGAUAAAAAGAGGGAGAAAAAGGAAGGAAAAAAAAGAAGAAGAAAAGAAAGGAAAUGAAAGAGGUUGAUGAUUUUUGUAAGUUUUGGUUCUUCAUUUCUUCAACUUAUCCUUAUUUUAAAGAGUUAAGUUAAUUAAAUUUCUAGGGUUUAUGAACCAUUCAUUUAUAUUCGAAGUUUAGCAAGAAUUAGAGAUUAUUAUUAUAUUUUUUAGGUAUUAAGCAAGAAUAUAUCAAAGAAAUAUUUGAAUAUUGAAAUUGAAGAAAGUUGAAUUUUGAAAUGGGGUUGUAAUUUAGAGCUUGAAUCGUUGAUAUGUUGUGUGUAUAUGAUAUAAAACACCUUAUUUGUUAUUUAUAAUAGUAAGAUAUGAAGUUAAGGUUAGAUUUUGGUAUUUAUAAGCAAUUUUCAUGCAAAAUUCAUGUGCAGGAGUUAAUUCUGAAAAUCUGCCCAGUAUAGUGCUAAUUCUCAAAGGUUCUGCUGCCGGAUUUCAAUAUUAUGGGGUUUUAGUGCUGUUUUUGUCAAAACUCUUGUUUUCAGAUUUUUAAAGGCUUGAAUGAAGUUAUAUUACAAGUGUUGAAGUUUAUGUAUUGGAAUAAAUUAUGUAUAGGGCUUAUAUAUGUAUAAGUUAUUGAUUUUAAGGAAGUGUGAGUAAUUUAAUGGAAUUGAUAAUGAAUGGUGAUUAGUUGAUAAAUCAUUAGUGAGGAGAAAAGAUGGAAAAUUGGAGAUGUAAGAGUAAUAUAGAAAUUGAGAAGUUGAGAGGUAGAAUUGUAUUAAUUUAAUUAUCUAAUUUUAAUUUGAGAAAGUAUACCGUUAUUUCAGGUAAGAAACAUGAAAGCUUGGAAUGGCUCGUUGCCAGAUUUCUAUCCAUGGAUCUGUGAAUGGAAAAAUAUAAAUAUUUUUAAAAUAUUUAUGAAUUAAGUAUAUUAUUAAAGUAUGUGCAAUUAUGUGUUCGAAUUAUAUGGUUAUUAUGGAAAUAUCUUUUAUUAUGAUACAUGUGGACUUUCAAAGAUUGCAUACGGUACAUUGUGAAUUAUGUGAUUUUGAGAUCGACUAGAAAAGUACCCUGAUUAUAUAUUUUUUCUAGUUUACUGAGGAGCAUUGGUCGUGUUCUAUACUACACUGAGGGGUUGACUGGGGAUGAAGGGGUCGUGAUCGUGUACAUAUAGUUCACUGAGGGGCCUUGGCCCUAUUCUAGCAUUGAUUACUAGAAUUGAUUACCAGAGGUCAUGAGACUCGCUUUCGUUCAUGGAGGGGGCCAAGCACGAGCGGCAGAUUACAGAUUUUAGUCAGAGGGUACAUUUUUGGUGGAUCACAUGUGAUGUGAUGAGAUGAUGGUAUAGAUAUCAACUGAUGGCUAUAUUGUGAUUAUGAGAUGAUAUUUAUAGUGUUAUGAGAAUGUCUCACUUUUUGUCUAUAAUUGUACGAGGCUAUUAUGUGAAAUAUUAAAUGAUAUGAGCUUGAUGUUUGAUAAAAAUGUUUAAAGGAGAAAGUAUGAUUAUUUUUGAAUUUUUUCACUCACUAAGCUAUCAACUUAUUUUUUUCCAUGAUUUUUCUCACUAGUAGCAUUGGUCCUUGAUAGCUUGAGAAGCCUAGUGAUUUUAGAGUUAGAGCCACACGAUAUAUUGAAUAAUAUGAGUCAAUUUGAUAAACCACGAAGUAAAUUUUUG
rnacentral:lncRNA from 1 species